CAUUGAGUUUAAAAGUCAAAAAAGUGUUGCCAUGGUAUUUAACGGUUUUACGUUUUGUAACAUACAUGUCGAAAACCGCUGUUUGCGUUUUCACGAACUGACACCAAGAUAACUGUCACUUCGUGAAAACGGCGCGCGCCCACCCGGCGGUUUCACGAAGUGACACAAACUGAACUCAUCCCCAAAUCUGAUCGAACCCUCACGCUGCAAAAUGCGCAUUAUGUUCGUCUUCGUGGGGACAAGAGCUGCGCGCAUGUGCAUUGUCCGCUUGACAACACACAGAUCACAUGGAAGGCUUGGCAGGCUGUAACGUGUUGUGUAUGGUGAUUUUAGUUCUGCAAAGUGCACAGAUGUAAUACUACACACGGAAUGGCUUCACUUUACAUCCCCCAAAAGGUUUAAUUUCCGCAGACCUUGGUCUUGGUCUUGGAUCUUGAUUAGUCGUGAGUUUUGGGCCCAGCAGAUAUAAGGACUUCAUGGAAUUUAGCGGAGACAAACCGAAGAUGAGUACUUCAUAAGAGCACGAGGGCAAAACAAUAACUUAUACAGGUUUGUAACCAUGACAUUGGCUGCAUGUCUAUUACAUGUACAUAACUGUUGACUUCAGUUUGUGGAUUUACAACAGCUGAAUGGUCUUAUUUUGAAAACAAACCCCCCGACUUAACUAUGUGAACAGAAAUUAAAAGCCAGUGUGUGUUUUACACUGUUUACUGACUAUUAUAUGAAAGCACACAGGAACACGUAAAACAAUGUUAUCGUUUUUCACUCGUGAUAGGUUUUGCAUACAUUUUAAAAUGUUGUUUGUCGAGUAUUCAUAUUUUCUUGUUUUUCUGUUUUAAUGUGUCUGAUUGCAGAUAAACAAGUACAGCCCAUCGAGAUGACCCCCAUCUUCCAGCCACCUGUGGGCAGCUUGCUCAAUAUUUAUGGACUGAUAUAAACCACAAUCGCUUUUCUUCUGAACACAAUCUAGUUUGCCUGUUCAGUGUGCUACCACUGAGUUAGGGGGUACUUCCUGGAACUAACCUGGCUCUCCAACCUUUCGCAAUCUUUAUUAGCAAACUACAUGGCAAUUAUUGAUGACUGACACAAAGGGAAACUUAUUUAUAUUCAGCUCUUUAUCAAAAUAAAGUAAGUGUGUGGUUGAAAAACUGACUAGUUUUAAAUAUGUCCAAGACAACUUGUAUAUAGAAAGAUUUAACAGUAAUACAUACAGUUACCCAAACCCAUAAACAUUAACUGUGAUAUUAUCCCAGAUGUUAAAAAGUAAGUUAAGAUCAUACAAUAGACUCUGGCGAUAAUCUCGAUUUCACAGUGCAAAUAGAAUGAUCAGCAAAAACUUUACUUGUUCAGGAGAACAAGACCCUUAUUAAAAUAAGUAAAGCUUUUAACUGCCUGCCAACUGUUUGUGAUUUAUUUUGUAAAUUCUGCUCGUUUCAUUUGCAAUUCAAACUACUUUUUUUAUUCAAUUAAUUUUCUAUGAAAUCUUGUUUUUUAUGUCAAAUUAUUAUUUUGUUUUAUCAUUAAACUAAGGUUGUUAUAAUUAUGAGUGCAUGAAUGAAAUGAAGGAAUGUUUCAUAUGUAUUUAACAAGUGAUUUUGUUUGAGGUGGUAAUAAUGUAACAUGCUAGAAACAGAUAUUGAUAAGUCAUGAAAAUCAUCAUUUUUCGAAGCAUUCCUCAUUCUGCACCAAAGACAAAAUUUUAUGGCUCUCUCUUAUAGCUAAGAUUGAUCUUAGGUGCGAGUCAAUCGUGAAUACUGAGCAAAGUGUGACAUAACUAUGAACAAUAAAUGAUUUAAUAUAAUUUGUUAAAAACCUUCGUAUGAAGCUCUUUAUAAAUGUAUAGUUUGUUAUGGUGAUUAGUAAUAUUAUCAUUAUUAGUAGAUGUGAAACAUGCCUAGUGGCAAAACAAUCUAGUAUGAAGGUCUGCUGCAGUUUCAUGAAAACAGAUGAGUGUGAGAACAUGCUUACAAAUAUGUUUUUUAAUUAGUAAUUAAUUUGUUAGUUCUUCACCAAAACUCAGUGUGAUAUUUGUGUAUGGUUUAAUAAGCCAACAUCUUGAAAAUAUAAAAAGUUUAACUUGUAACUGUCUUCGGGAUAAACUUAAUUGAUUAUUUAACAAUUUUUUCCAAUCCUAAUAUAAUAUUUAUUCUAUGAUUAAUUUGUUGUUUAUCCAAUAUAAAAACCCUCAGAAGCACAGCAUUGUGUAGCUUGAAAUGACUUUGAGAAGUGUGUUUGUUUCAUUAUUUAUUUAACAAUUGAAUUUAUUCACUUUUAUUAAACUAUGUCUAAAAAAUAGUACAUUCAAUAAUUCAUGAAAAUAUUUGUUAUAAUCAUAAAACUAUACUUUUAUCAUUGUUUUUAGUGAAUUUGAGAGAAAAGGUAUUUUUAAGGUAGCGGGUACCAGUUUUUACGAUGGUGAUCGGCGUAACAUACCAUUGUGAUUACGCAUAUCUUAGCGUUUUCACGAAGUGACACCAACUGCGCGUACAUGUAAGGAUCCGGGUUUCGCGUUUUCACGAAGUGACACAUAUCUUUCAGAGCCAAUGACGCUUUAUUUAACCAAAAAUAUAGCAAAAUGAUGAGACAAAUAAGUAUAUUGGCUCAUAUUACUUGGAGUACGUGUUGAAAUUAUAAUGAUGCGACUAAAAAAAGGAAUAAAAAACCGUUUUUUAAAAGUGUUUGUCUUUCAAACUAUACUUUUAUCAUAAUGUUUAAUGACUUUGAGAGAAAAACUAUUUUUAGCGCAGCGGGUACCAGUUUUUACGAUGGUGUUCGGCGCAAUAUGCUAUUGGGUUACGCGCAUCUUCGCGGUUUCACGAAGUGACACCAACUGCACGCGCAUGUCAGAAUCCUGGAUUCGCGUUUUCACGAAGUGACACCAACUGCGCGCGAAUGUCAGAAUCCGAGUUUCGCGUUUUCACGAAGUGACACGAAUCUUUCAGAGCCAAUAACGCUUUAAUUAAACAGAAAUUAAGCUAAAUAAUGAGAUAAAUAGGUAUUCUGACUCAUACGCUUCAAGUUCGUGUUAAAAUUUUAAUGAUGCGACUAUAAAAUGCAAUUAAAAACCAGUUUUUAAAAAGUGCAUGUCGUUCAAAGUCGUUU